UUUUGGCUUGAAAUCAAAAGCGUCAAUCGCAUUCAAGACUCAAAAUAGAGAAAUAAUACCCUUGUUAGUCCAAAUUUCAUGAGACUUUGCAAAGUGAAAAUCAUUUUGUAGAUAGGUAAGACGAAUUAAGACGAGGUAAGACGAGUGCAUAAUUACUGAGCGACUCUAAAAACGCCUAAUUUGGUAGAAGACCAUAUUUUGCAGCAUUCACCAUAUUUCAAAAUUUAGCCAAUGUACUACCUUAAAUGGCAUUUAAAUUUUCCAAUGUUCCACUUCAAUGAUUUUCUAGGACUUUUUUGCUCAAGGUAUAAAUACAUUUUGUAAUCUUUUUAGCAUGUAUUCAUUCCUGUUGCAAUUUGUUUGAGCUUACACCAAAAAUUGACUGGACUACUACUGAACUUGACAAUAUGUACAUUUUCCCCGUUUUAUCUUCUUCCCCAUGAUAGGCAGCCAAAAUGUUUUACAUUACAUUAAGUUACGUCUCAAUAAAAGGAAUGAGUAUAUAAAUUUCUCUAAAGUUUGGUGGUGUAAAUUGUCAUUUAUCUUUAAGAAAAUGGAUACAGAAAAGAGGAGCGAUAGAGUUGUGGAGGUGAUGGAUGUAUGAUAUCAUGUUUUAUUAUAUACUUAGACUUGACUAUGAACAUUUUUGUUUUUUUAAUUAUUCCACGGAGAGGCAUGUUUCCCUUAGCAAUUCUAGUGUGAAUCUCACAAAUUCUUAGCUUUGCUUAAAUUCACUUUUUCCACCCCAUUGCUUGGACACUUAACUUUGUUGCAAUCAAUUGAUAGUAUAUCAAAACUGAUUAUUCUAAAUUGAUAUUUGAGUUUGAAUUUUGUUUAAGACGGAUUAGAAUUUCACAUUUUAAUAUCGUCAUUUAGCGUAAUAUAGAACCUACCAUACCAGCAACAGAUUGGCACAGUCAAGCGCCAUUUUGCUUGAUUUUAUUUCACUUUUCUCAAUUGCCUAGCAUGAAUAAUAAUAAAACAGUGAUUUUAGGCAUCGUUUUCUGACUUUUUGAUAUUUAGUCAGUUUGACAACAAUAAUUUGACCCAAUCAACCGUUACUCUCUACGUCUCAGAAAUAAUUAUAUAUUUUUAAAAUAUUUUUAUAGUCUUUUGGUAUAAAUUUUCCCUUACCUUCCAGGAGCUAGAAAACGGAGAAAGUUGCGCGGAGAAAGAGAUGGUAUGAUCGCAAUCCUGUGUACUAUUUUGCAUGAAAAAAAAUCAAAUUGUUCAUUUUGUUAAUAUCCUUCUUAGUCAGGCUAGAAUGUACGUCAGUCGUAACUGGAUGUACUACUUGAGUUAAUUUUAGGCUGGACUUUACUUUGUUUGCAAUUUCACUUCUUAUCACCAUAUUCUUUGAACAUUACGCUCUGUUGCACUCAAUGAAUAUUGCAUCAAAUUUGAUCAUUCUAAAUUGAUCUUAGGGUUUAAGUUGUCUUCAAGACGAUUUUGAAUAGUAGAUUUCAAUAUCUUCAGUGCUACUAUAUUAGCAGAUUAAAAGAUUUUAAUUUUUUCAUUUAACAGUUUUGAUAUUUAGUCAGUUUGACAACAAUAACUGUACCCUAUCAACCGUUACCCUUUGUGAUGAUAGGCAGCUUGAAAUGGUUGACUGUUUGCGUUACAAAUUUUGGAAUAUCUUUUAGGAAGUGGAAAAAAAACGAGGAAAGUGGAAGUUGUCGUUGGGGGCAAAAGGAAGAUGCUGCUAUGCCAAAGAAAAUUGUGCGCAAUGAAGCGCCUGAUUUGCCAAUCAUUCCAUUUAUCAAGGAAAACCCCAUUCAUAAUGUUAAAUGGGGAAAGAAAACGCCUCAAUGAAAUAAGAACAGGGAUGAGGAUAAUAAUAAAAUUUUUAAAGAAAAGAGAGAAGAGACAAGAAAAAAAAAUUGAGAAUUCCGGUGAGACACCCGGGGCCUCUUACAACUUUUCUGGCAACAGUAAACUUUUUAUUUAUCAUUAUAAGUAGGUAGUUUAGUUUGUUGUUUACUUUAAAAUCAUAGUUUGUUAUUUUAUUUAUUUUAAAGAUUUUUGAUAUUUUGUUAAGUUUAAUUUGUAAAUUGUAUAUAUAUAUAUAUUUAAAGAUGUUCA